rnacentral:rRNA from 1 species
UGGGGAUGACGUCAAGUCAUCAUGGCCUUUACGGCCUGGGCUACACACGUGCUACAAUGGUCGGUACAAAGGGUUGCCAAGCCGCGAGGUGGAGCUAAUCCAUAAAACCGAUCGUAGUCCGGAUCGCAGUCUGCAACUCGACUGCGUGAAGUCGGAAUCGCUAGUAAUCGUGAAUCAGAAUGUCACGGUGAAUACGUUCCCGGGCCUU